GACGAACGCUGGCGGCGUGCUUAACACAUGCAAGUCGAGCGGUAAGGCCUUUCGGGGUACACGAGCGGCGAACGGGUUAGUAACACGUGGGUGAUCUGCCCUGCACUUCGGGAUAAGCCUGGGAAACUGGGUCUAAUACCGGAUAUGACCUCCUAUCGCAUGGUGGGUGGUGGAAAGAUUUAUCGGUGCAGGAUGGGCCCGCGGCCUAUCAGCUUGUUGGUGGGGUAAUGGCCUACCAAGGCGACGACGGGUAGCCGACCUGAGAGGGUGACCGGCCACACUGGGACUGAGACACGGCCCAGACUCCUACGGGAGGCAGCAGUGGGGAAUAUUGCACAAUGGGCGAAAGCCUGAUGCAGCGACGCCGCGUGAGGGAUGACGGCCUUCGGGUUGUAAACCUCUUUCAGCAGGGACGAAGCGCAAGUGACGGUACCUGCAGAAGAAGCACCGGCUAACUACGUG
rnacentral:rRNA from 1 species